rnacentral:rRNA from 1 species
UACGGAGGGAGCUAGCGUUGUUCGGAAUUACUGGGCGUAAAGCGCACGUAGGCGGUUUUUUAAGUCAGAGGUGAAAGCCUGGUGCUCAACACCAGAACGGCCUUUGAUACUGGGUGUCUCGAGUCCGGAAGAGGUUAGUGGAAUUCCCAGUGUAGAGGUGAAAUUCGUAGAUAUCGGGAAGAACACCAGUGGCGAAAGCGCUCUGCUGGGCCUUGAUUGACGCUGAGGCACGAAAGCGUGGGUAGCGAACAGG